GGGUAUGGGAGUAUCCCUCGAGCUCCAUUCUCCCCACUCGGCUUCCUUCUCCUUCCUAGGUCCAGGCCUUUUCUAGAUCUGGUCGACCUGCCCAGCCCCCUCGCCUCCUGCACACAGCCGAUGUCUGCCAGGUAGAAGUGGCCCUGGUUGGAGCUUCUCCUCGUGGAAACCACUCCCUAUUUGGUCUAGAGGUAGCCACCUUGGGACAGGGCCCCGACUGCCCCUCAGUGAACGAACAGGACUCCAUCGAUGAUGAGUACGCACCUGCUGUCUUCCAGGUCAGGGUUCCAUGGGACAGAGAUGGGUGGGAAUGUAAAGUGGGGUCCCUCCCGCUAGCAGCCCAGAAAAUCCACCAACCACUUACUGUUUUUUUAAAAAAAGAUUUGUGGGCUGGGGAUUUAGCUCAGUGGUAGAGCACUUACCUAGGAAGCGCAAGGCCCUGGGUUUGGUCCCCAGCUCCGAAAAAAAGAACCAAAAAAAAAAAAAAAAG
rnacentral:lncRNA from 1 species